CGUAGCCGCGGGAAUACGUAGGGUGCGAGCGUUAAUCGGAAUUACUGGGCGUAAAGCGUGCGCAGGCGGUUGUGUAAGACAGGUGUGAAAUCCUCGGGCUUAACCUGGGGACUGCGCUUGUGACUGCACAGCUAGAGUAUGGCAGAGGGGGGUGGAAUUCCACGUGUAGCAGUGAAAUGCGUAGAGGUGUGGAGGUACACCGAUGGCGAAGGCAGCCCCCUGGGCCAAUACUGACGCUCAUGCACGAAAGCGUGGGGAGCAAACAGGAUUAGAUACCCCCGUAGUCCCUGUCUCUUAUACA
rnacentral:rRNA from 1 species